UUUUGUGAUUCACGCUCUCUCUCUCUCUCUCUCUCUCUCUCUCUCAGAGAAUGAUAAACACCUCUUGGGCACAACCUUUGCAUCUCCUCCUCUUCCCUGAAUUCAGAUCCUCUUCCCCAAUAGAGACCCACUUCGCCAUAGACGGUGCUUUUCAUUUCUCUUACAACCCUUCGAAACUCAUUCGCUUGGGAAAGACAUGCAAUUUUGGAUUUCCCCUCUUGUUUGUGAUAGGAAACAAACAAGAAUUCUGCAUGUCAAGUGUUUGAAGAUAUUUCCGAGAGAUAACCCAUCAACCCAUCAAACCAUCAACCCACUGUUGUUGAAAAACUUAUGGAACAUUUCUUUUCUCCUUGAGUAGGGGUGGUAGUGAUUUGACAACCACAACCAUUGGUAAAGCUCUGGGGUUGCGAGAAAUUCAGUCAAUUUGAGGAGAAGUUUGAGGAGAUCAAUGGUGAUGAGGCAUCCCCAAGUAUUCCUUUGACAUCAAGGUUUGAUGGAAAUUCAGCUGCACCAAUGGUAACUGAAGAAAGCAGAAAUGACACUGAAAUGCAGGGUCAAGAAGAUCAUAGACUAUGCUCUGAUAUAAAUGCCUCACAAGACUUUGUGAGUGGGAUCAUGAAGAUUGUCCCAGAAGUUGAUAGCGAUGCAGAUUAUUGGCUUUUACCAGAUGUCGAUGUUAGCAUUACAGACAUGUGGACAGAGCAUAUCCUAUACUCUUGAGCUUGUGUGCCUAUGUGGGUUUUGAGAUUGCAAGAUCACAUAAAGAGAGUUUUGUUGCAGAUCUGUACCCAGUUACUUAUGGGUGGUGUUUUCUAUUAUUGUUGGUGAUCACAGGAUAUGCUAAAGUAUCACAUGAAGUAAAGCUGAAGGCUGGUCUGUUUGAUGUGGGCUUGAAGGACAUUAAGAGGGCCAGGUUACAAAAAUGCAGCAGUUCUUUGAGUGGUCCUCAAAAAGGAAAGUUGGUGUUUUUAAUUUAUGCUAAUUUUGUACCCAGCUUACCUUUAUGCAUAUCUAAUUUUGGAUGUUGUAUUGAGUGGAUGAUUAUUACAUCUGGUCUAUUUUUGAAGCCUAUCCCGGUGGGCUGUGUCUGGAGGCAUUUUUCUGCUCCUUUUGUUGUAUGCUGCUGCUAUAUGCUUUGCUGCCAGCUGCUGCUCUAUCUAUUCCUUACUGUUGUGGCCUUAUGCUAUUUGCUAUGCUGCAUGGCUGCAUAUUACUGCAUGGUUUUUCAAGUUAUACUAUAAAAUGUACUAAAUUAUUGCUUAGCAUAACAGUUAAAAGCAUGAUCUGUGGUUUUUAUAUUUUGUCUUAUUAUCUGUGAUGUUCGUUCAUGUGAUUUUGAUAUUAUCUAUCAUUUUUCUACAGUCUCAUUUAAAGAUAUUCCUGUCACCUAGUUUUACUUGCCAUAAAUUUUGGAAUUAAACAAAAUUCUUAGUCUCAUCAUUUGCAGAAUUCUGGUAGAGAAGUAGUUCCUUGAGUUGUUUUCAUUUUGUGGCUAUAUCAUUUGCUUAGCUGAAUGAGUUCAAACCUUCAUGUUACAACUUUUCAAUUGAAAAUAAAAGCAAAACUUUGAAAGUUUAUAGCUUUAUGAUUGCAGUUAAAUCAUUGCUAGCAUGAUGGGUCUCGGAGACAUUAGAAUUAUAAAACAUUCCAACUUUAAUUGUAUGUUUGACACAUCUUCAUUGAUUCAACUCUCUGUAAUUUCGGUGCUUUUCCGAUGAGUUUACAAUGAUAUCUGGCUCUGAUUUUGAGUAUUUUUUGUUCUUUCUUUUCUUGUUGGUGCAGUGGAUCCUGAAACAGCGCUUUACACAGAGCUAUGGCGCACUUGUGCUGGUCCGCUCGUGACAGUGCCUCGUGAAGACAAGCGCAUGUUCUAUUUUCCUCAAGGACAUAUUGAGCAGGCGAUGAAUUUGAUUUUCAGCCCUAGAAUUUGAAAUUCGUUGAUUUCGAAGAGUUAAGAAACGUCGACUUGAACCAACAUUUGGCUGGACAUGAUCCGUGUGAGACUUCGAGUGGUCCAGAUUCAUAUCCAAACAGGUCCACAGGACACAGGAACAGUCGCCUUAGCAGAAAAGUAGAAAAAGAAAAAGCUUUGAAAGAUCUAGAAAUUGGAGCGACAUUAUUUGGAUCGUCGUUGCCUUGCUAUUCCCCAUCAUAAUGUGUAUUGAUCAGGUGCAAGCUUGGAUUUGAAGAACAUAUAUCUCCAUGAUUGAUGCUCAUUCUGGUAGUGUUAACGAUCUUGCAUUCUCUUACCCAAACAAACAACUUUCUAUUGUCACAUGCGGGGAGGAUCGGCUCAUUAAGGUGUGGGAUGCAGUUACAGGGAAUAAGCAGUAUACUUUUGAGGGUCAUGAAGCACCCGUCUAUUCUGUAUGUCCACAUCGCAAGGAAAACAUUCAGGUAUUCUUUGUUCGCUAUAUAAUA